UACGUAGGCAGCAAGCGUUGUUCGGAGUUACUGGGCGUAAAGGGUGUGUAGGCGGUUCUUUAAGUUUGCUGUGAAAUCUCCCGGCUUAACCGGGAGGGUGCGGUGAAUACUGAGGGACUAGAGUACGGGAGAGGAAAGUGGAAUUCCUGGUGUAGCGGUGAAAUGCGUAGAUAUCAGGAGGAACACCGGUGGUGUAGACGGCUUCUGGACCGUAACUGACGCUGAGACACGAAAGCGUGGGUAGCAAACAGG
rnacentral:rRNA from 1 species